AUUGCCCUACGGGGGGCAGCAGUGGGGAAUAUUGCACAAUGGGGGGAACCCUGAUGCAGCGACGCCGCGUGAGUGAAGAAGUAUUUCGGUAUGUAAAGCUCUAUCAGCAGGGAAGAUAAUGACGGUACCUGACUAAGAAGCCCCGGCUAACUACGUGCCAGCAGCCGCGGUAAUACGUAGGGAGCAAGCGUUAUCCGGAUUUACUGGGUGUAAAGGGCGUGUAGGCGGGCUUGUAAGUCAGAAGUGAAAUCUGGGGGCUUAACCCCCAAACUGCUUUUGAAACUGCGGGUCUU
rnacentral:rRNA from 1 species